AUUGAACGCUGGCGGCAGGCCUAACACAUGCAAGUCGAACGCGUCGCGCGCGGGUGAGAUGUGUCUGGGAAACCGCCUGAUGGAGGGGGAUCUCUACUGGAAACGGUCGCUAAUCCCACAUUACAUCGGAUGUCCCCAGAUGGGAUUCGCUAGUAGGUGGGGUAAAGGCUCACCUAGGCGACGAUCCCUAGCUGGUCUGAGAGGAUGACCAGCCACACUGGGACUGAGACACGGUCCAGACUCCUACGGGAGGCAGCAGUGGGGAAUAUUGCACAAUGGGCGCAAGCCUGAUGCAGCCAUGCCGCGUGUAUGAAGAAGGCCUUCGGGUUGUAAAGUACUUUCAGCGGGGAGGCGUUACCCGCAGAAGAAGCACCGGCUAACUCCGUGCCAGCAGCCGCGGUAAUUC
rnacentral:rRNA from 1 species